ACUCCUACGGGAGGCAGCAGUGGGGAAUAUUGGACAAUGGGGGAAACCCUGAUCCAGCCAUGCCGCGUGUGUGAAGAAGGCCUUCGGGUUGUAAAGCACUUUCAGUGGGGAGGAAAGGUUGAUGGUUAAUACCUAUCAGCUGUGGCACGUUUACCCACAUGAAGAAGCACCGGCUAACUCCGUGCCAGCAGCCGCGGUAAUACGGAGGGUGCAAGCGUUAAUCGGAAUUACUGGGCGUAAAGCGUGCGCAGGCGG
rnacentral:rRNA from 1 species